AUCUACGGCCAUGCUACCCUGAACAAGCCUGAUCCUGUCUGAUCUCAGAAGCUAAGCAGGGUAGAGCCUGAAUAGUAUUUGGAUGGGAGACUACCUACGAAACCGGAUGCUAUGGGCA
rnacentral:rRNA from 1 species